GAUGAACGCUGGCGGCGUGCCUAAUACAUGCCAGUCGAGCGAACGGACGAGAAGCUUGCUUCUCUGAUGUUAGCGGCGGACGGGUGAGUAACACGUGGAUAACCUACCUAUAAGACUGGGAUAACUUCGGGAAACCGGAGCUAAUACCGGAUGAUAUUUUGAACCGCAUGGUUCAAUAGUGAAAGACGGUCUUGCUGUCACUUAUAGAUGGAUCCGCGCUGCAUUAGCUAGUUGGUAAGGUAACGGCUUACCAAGGCAACGAUGCAUAGCCGACCUGAGAGGGUGAUCGGCCACACUGGAACUGAGACACGGUCCAGACUCCUACGGGAGGCAGCAGUAGGGAAUCUUCCGCAAUGGGCGAAAGCCUGACGGAGCAACGCCGCGUGAGUGAUGAAGGUCUUCGGAUCGUAAAACUCUGUUAUUAGGGAAGAACAUAUGUGUAAGUAACUGUGCACAUCUUGACGGUACCUAAUCAGAAAGCCACGGCUAACUACGUG
rnacentral:rRNA from 1 species